CACCAUUUGAUUGGCUAAAAGGCACUGAGAAAGUUCUCACUCUGGUCAUGAACUCCACCCAGAACUGGCCGCUCAGUUUUCAGGUUUUAAACUGCCGUUGACUUGAAGGUUGAGUUUCACUGGGGACCUACCUCUAUCUGCCUAGUAAUCUGUGUCUCCUGUAGCUAUCAUCAUCACUGAUUUUCUACGUACAGAUUUCAAUUCCAAACAAAAAUAUAUGAGAACGUUCAUUUCUCCAUACAACUGGCUGGGUCAUUGGCCUUAUCCCGCACCGAAGUUGAAACUUACACCAUCUGUUCACAUCAUCAGUUCUUCUGGUUCUCAUGCUUUUGAACUUCAACUGGCACAAUUCCACUGGCUCUCCUUAGUCUCCAGGUUGCAGAUGGCAGAUUAUAAAUCUCCUUAGCCUCCACCUUUAUAAUCCUAACUAUUACUGACACCUCUUUGAGGACAAAGGAAGUAGCUUUCUGCAAGCCAAAAAGACCUCAGAAAAACAACAAAUCUUCCAAACUCUUGAUUUUGACUUUUUGCCUCCAGAAUUGUGAAGAAAUAAAUAUCUGU
rnacentral:lncRNA from 1 species